rnacentral:rRNA from 1 species
GACGAACGCUGGCGGCGUGCUUAACACAUGCAAGUCGAACGGAAAGGCCCUGCUUGCCGGGUGCUCGAGUGGCGAACGGGUGAGUAACACGUGGGUGAUCUGCCCCUUACUUUGGGAUAAGCCCGGGAAACUGGGUCUAAUACUGGAUAGGACCAUGCUGUAGGUGGUGUGGUGGAAAGAUUAGUUUCGGUAAGGGAUGAGCUCGCGGCCUAUCAGCUUGUUGGUGGGGUAAUGGCCUACCAAGGCGUCGACGGGUAGCCGGCCUGAGAGGGUGGACGGCCACAUUGGGACUGAGAUACGGCCCAGACGCCUACGGGAGGCAGCAGUGGGGAAUAGUGCACAAUGGGCGCAAGCCGGAUGCAGCGACGCCGCGUGGGGGAUGACGGCCUUCGGGUUGUAAACUCCUUUCAGCCAUGACGAAGCCCUUGUGGUGACGGUAGUGGUAGAAGAAGCACCGGCUAACUACGUG